rnacentral:tRNA from 1 species
GGGCUCGUAGCUUAGCCUGGUUAGUAGCACCCGACUGAUAAUCGGGAGGUCAGGAGUUCAAAUCUCCUCGGGCCCA